rnacentral:snRNA from 1 species
AUUGAGGAUUUAAAUCACCAGGUC